rnacentral:lncRNA from 1 species
GUUUGAGACCAGCUUGGGCAAUGGAGUGAGACCCCCAUUCUGAAAAAAAAAAAUCAAAAAAUUUAACAGGCAUGGUGGCAUGUGCCUGCAGUCCCAGCUACUCAGGAGGCUGAGGUGGGAGGAUCGCUUGAACUCAGGAGUUGAAGGCUGCAGUGGGUGAGGAUCACAACACUGAAUUCCAGCUGAGGUGACAGAAUGAGACCCUGUCUCUCUAAAAAACAAGCAAGCAAACAAACCAAAAACCACAAACAAACCAGACCCCUCUUAGCAGAAUACUUCCAUGAGGUAAUAAAAGAAAGAAGAAAGUGAAACGAACAAACAAUUUUACUCAAGAAACUAGUGAGAAAUCAAAGAAAUGUCCAAGAAGUAGGAUACAAGAAUUAAUCAAAACAGAUUAACAGUGGAAUAAAUAAAUGAAUCCAACUGGUUCUUUGUAAUGGAAUGUGGAAAGACAUACUCUAUUCUUCUGGAUAGGAAGAUGAAAUAUCAUAAUCAUAUCAAUGCAAGUUUUAUGCAUGCUCAAACAUGUAUAAACUAAGAAAAAAUCUGAAAGGACAGACAGCAAAAUGUUUGCAGUUUUUUUCCUCCAAGUGGUAAGAUUAAAGUCCAUGAAAUAAGGUGGGGAAGAUGUUUUGAACCUCUCUCAGCAGCAGAUCCCUAAAUCACAGACCCAGAACUUGGAGGAAACAGGAAACAGGAGGCCAUCUCUGCACCUCUCCAG